rnacentral:rRNA from 1 species
GAUGAACGCUGGCGGCGUGCCUAAUACAUGCAAGUCGAGCGAACAGAUAAGGAGCUUGCUCCUUUGACGUUAGCGGCGGACGGGUGAGUAACACGUGGGUAACCUACCUAUAAGACUGGAAUAACUUCGGGAAACCGAAGCUAAUGCCGGAUAACAUGUAGAACCGCAUGGUUCUACAGUGAAAGAUGGCCUUGCUAUCACUUAUAGAUGGACCCGCGCCGUAUUAGCUAGUUGGUAAGGUAACGGCUUACCAAGGCAACGAUACGUAGCCGACCUGAGAGGGUGAUCGGCCACACUGGAACUGAGACACGGUCCAGACUCCUACGGGAGGCAGCAGUAGGGAAUCUUCCGCAAUGGGCGAAAGCCUGACGGAGCAACGCCGCGUGAGUGAUGAAGGUCUUCGGAUCGUAAAGCUCUGUUAUUAGGGAAGAACAAGUGCGUAAGUAACUGUGCGCACCUUGACGGUACCUAAUCAGAAAGCCACGGCUAACUACGUGCCAGCCGCCGCCGUAACAC